rnacentral:rRNA from 1 species
CAGGUUUACCUGUGUGACUGCGUACCUUUUGUAUAAUGGGUCAGCGACUUAUAUUCUGUAGCAAGGUUAACCGAAUAGGGGAGCCGGAGGGAAACCGAGUCUUAAUUGGGCGUUAAGUUGCAGGGUAUAGACCCGAAACCCGGUGAUCUAGCCAUGGGCAGGUUGAAGGUUGGGUAACACUAACUGGAGGACCGAACCGACUAAUGUUGAAAAAUUAGCGGAUGACCUGUGGCUGGGGGUGAAAGGCCAAUCAAACCGGGAGAUAGCUGGUUCUCCCCGAAAGCUAUUUAGGUAGCGCCUCGUGAAUUCAUCUCCGGGGGUAGAGCACUGUUUCGGCUAGGGGGCCAUCCCGGCUUACCAACCCGAUGCAAACUGCGAAUACCGGAGAAUGUUAUCACGGGAGACACACGGCGGGUGCUAACGUCCGUCGUGAAGAGGGAAACAACCCAGACCGCCAGCUAAGGUCCCAAAGUCAUGGUUAAGUGGGAAACGAUGUGGGAAGGCCCAGACAGCCAGGAUGUUGGCUUAGAAGCAGCCAUCAUUUAAAGAAAGCGUAAUAGCUCACUGGUCGAGUCGGCCUGCGCGGAAGAUGUAACGGGGCUAAACCAUGCACCGAAGCUGCGGCAGCGACGCUGAUGCGUUGUUGGGUAGGGGAGCGUUCUGUAAGCCUGCGAAGGUGGCCUGUGAGGGUUGCUGGAGGUAUCAGAAGUGCGAAUGCUGACAUAAGUAACGAUAAAGCGGGUGAAAAGCCCGCUCGCCGGAAGACCAAGGGUUCCUGUCCAACGUUAAUCGGGGCAGGGUGAGUCGACCCCUAAGGCGAGGCCGAAAGGCGUAGUCGAUGGGAAACGGGUUAAUAUUCCCGUACUUGGUGUUACUGCGAAGGGGGGACGGAGAAGGCUAUGUUGGCCGGGCGACGGUUGUCCCGGUUUAAGCGUGUAGGUGUGUGUUCCAGGUAAAUCCGGUUCACUUUAACACUGAGGCGUGAUGACGAGGCACUACGGUGCUGAAGCAACAAAUGCCCUGCUUCCAGGAAAAGCCUCUAAGCAUCAGGUAACAUCAAAUCGUACCCCAAACCGACACAGGUGGUCAGGUAGAGAAUACCAAGGCGCUUGAGAGAACUCGGGUGAAGGAACUAGGCAAAAUGGUGCCGUAACUUCGGGAGAAGGCACGCUGACACGUAGGUGAAGUGAUUUACUCAUGGAGCUGAAGUCAGUCGAAGAUACCAGCUGGCUGCAACUGUUUAUUAAAAACACAGCACUGUGCAAACACGAAAGUGGACGUAUACGGUGUGACGCCUGCCCGGUGCCGGAAGGUUAAUUGAUGGGGUCAGCGCAAGCGAAGCUCCUGAUCGAAGCCCCGGUAAACGGCGGCCGUAACUAUAACGGUCCUAAGGUAGCGAAAUUCCUUGUCGGGUAAGUUCCGACCUGCACGAAUGGCGUAAUGAUGGCCAGGCUGUCUCCACCCGAGACUCAGUGAAAUUGAACUCGCUGUGAAGAUGCAGUGUACCCGCGGCAAGACGGAAAGACCCCGUGAACCUUUACUAUAGCUUGACACUGAACAUUGAGCCUUGAUGUGUAGGAUAGGUGGGAGGCUUUGAAGUGUGGACGCCAGUCUGCAUGGAGCCGACCUUGAAAUACCACCCUUUAAUGUUUGAUGUUCUAACGUGGACCCGUGAUCCGGGUUGCGGACAGUGUCUGGUGGGUAGUUUGACUGGGGCGGUCUCCUCCUAAAGAGUAACGGAGGAGCACGAAGGUUGGCUAAUCCUGGUCGGACAUCAGGAGGUUAGUGCAAUGGCAUAAGCCAGCUUGACUGCGAGCGUGACGGCGCGAGCAGGUGCGAAAGCAGGUCAUAGUGAUCCGGUGGUUCUGAAUGGAAGGGCCAUCGCUCAACGGAUAAAAGGUACUCCGGGGAUAACAGGCUGAUACCGCCCAAGAGUUCAUAUCGACGGCGGUGUUUGGCACCUCGAUGUCGGCUCAUCACAUCCUGGGGCUGAAGUAGGUCCCAAGGGUAUGGCUGUUCGCCAUUUAAAGUGGUACGCGAGCUGGGUUUAGAACGUCGUGAGACAGUUCGGUCCCUAUCUGCCGUGGGCGCUGGAGAACUGAGGGGGGCUGCUCCUAGUACGAGAGGACCGGAGUGGACGCAUCACUGGUGUUCGGGUUGUCAUGCCAAUGGCACUGCCCGGUAGCUAAAUGCGGAAGAGAUAAGUGCUGAAAGCAUCUAAGCACGAAACUUGCCCCGA